UAUUGCACAAUGGGGGAAACCCUGAUGCAGCGACGCCGCGUGAGUGAAGAAGUAUUUCGGUAUGUAGAGCUCUAUCAGCAGGGAAGAAAAAAGACGGUACUUGACUAAGAAGCCCCGGCUAACUACGUGCCAGCAGCCGCGGUAAUACGUAGGGGGCAAGCGUUAUCCGGAUUUACCGGGUGUAAAGGGAGCGUAGACGGCAGCGCAAGUCUGGAGUGAAAUGCCGGGGCCCAACCCCGGAACUGCUUUGGAAACUGUGCAGCUCGAGUGCAGGAGAGGUAAGCGGAAUUCCUAGUGUAGCGGUGAAAUGCGUAGAUAUUAGGAGGAACACCAGUGGCGAAGGCGGCUUACUGGACUGUAACUGACACUGAGGCACGAAAGCGUGGGGAGCA
rnacentral:rRNA from 1 species